rnacentral:lncRNA from 1 species
GCCAAGAGGGUGCAAUGAACGAGUAAAUGGGUAGCAACUUCAGUACAAACCCACGAAGAUCAUGACAUCUUAAUCAUCUUACUUGACUGAGUCAGUCUCAUUCUUUUAUAUGAAAUAGAGCUUACCCAUCAGCGGAGAAGAGCGGGUCGCGGGCAACGCUGCGGCCCGACAGGGUCUUCACGCCCAGCUUAGGCGCAGACUGGAACUGGGCCGAGCCGUAGACAGAGAGAGCCAGAGACAGAAUCAGCACCAGACCAGCAGCCGAAAGAGAGCCAGCAAUCUCAGCAACCUCGGGCACGUUGCGCAGCGGGCCCAGCUGCAGGGAACAUUGUAAACCAUACAGAAGAAGUCAUCAGCAACACAGCUCUGCUCGUAGUACCUUCCAAAGUUUGCCAAGUAAUCGGCAAGCAAAUCCUUGAUAUCCUUUAUUCCGUAAGUUCACAGCCUGUUACUAGAAGGUAUGCCUAUUGAAAGUGCGCAUUUAAGCAAAUAGGCAAAGCACAGCCAUUCCCUGGUGACUGGUAGUGUCAAUCGACAUCGGACAACAAGAGCUCGUCGCUGUGCAUAUGUAACGAAGUUAUCGCUGGGACCUACCUUAAUGAAGGGGCCAGCUACCAGGAAGCCGUGCGCAAGGCCAAUCUCCACGCCGCGCAGCAGGGGAGCAACGCCAGUGCGGUAGGCCGGCAGGUUGCUCAGGUAAGUGGCGACGAUUGGGGCCGAGGUCACGGGGGUCUCCAGCAUACCCACGAACGGAUCGCCGUUAACGGGGGUGAUCACCUGGGCCUGCAGACGAGCAAGUGUGGAUAGUAAUUUGCCUUUUCAUGGACGGUUCUCUAUGAAGACAAGAGAAGUUUGCACUGUAAUCAUAUUUUCAGCUGGUGAUCUUCACUAUCUACCUUCUUAGCGGCAUCAGCCAUCGCCACAACGCGCAGAGUGGACGCGCGGCCCAGGCCCAGGGGAACCUGGCGCCGGGCGGUGGUGGCACGCAGGCCGCACGACUGACGCAUAGCGACGGCCAUCUUGGUACAAUUGGUGAAUGCAAGAGCUGGACCACAGCUGUCUUGCACGCUGCGAGAGCUUAAGCAAAAACAUCUUCGUGCCGUACGAGAUCUUGUAGGGCCUCCUGCGCAAUUCUCUAAUGCAAUUGCCCGAAUUGGUAAAGAUGUUUAAGACUUUAUGUUGCUAGGAUAACUUGUUCUUUGCUUAAACAGAGCGUUAUUAUCCUCGCCUCUCUCAUCUUGCUAGUUCGUUUCCAAUUAAGUCAUAUAAGCACUUCGCAAUACGAAUCAAACCUAUGCUGAUUGUGUGUAUAUGCUAAGAAUUUGUAAUGUCCUCAGACAGUGUGGACAGACUUUUGUUGCGACCCCGGGGUCUAAUUCUAAUAUGCAGGUCCGGUCGCAACCCCUGCCAACUGCACUCCCACUAUAUUUCUUACUGCCUGCAUGCAACUUGGCUGUAAUAUGGCUUGAGGACACAGAAACUGCUGCCGGCAAACAAUGCAGCUACCUGUAAGCUGUGUUUGGAGAAGGUUUACACAACGACUAUUCCUUUGAAUCACCAUUUCACCCCUGCAUCCUACUCCACAUGCAAUGAACUGAUGUCUUCAUGUUGAUCUCGUAUGUUCACCGUGCACUCCUGCGCCAUCUCAUUCCCUACCAGUACGCUGCGGGAAUGCGAUACAGAGCUCAGCGCCCUGCACGUCGCCCGUCCCAUCAGGUCCCACCCCACCGGGUGCUGUGCCACUGGCUGCCUAAUGCAUCUUCCUGCGCAGCUUCAUGUCAGAUGAUCCGUUCACAUUCUGUACAACAGAGGAAAGUGGGUAUCGGACCCUGCUCCAUCUCCCCCAAAGCUCGGACGACCGCUGUCAUUAAGAGAUUCGAGCUUACAGGACAUUGCCUCUGCCGCACAGUAUCCGCAUUGGCCACCAGGGCCCUAUCCUCUUCCUCAAUCUCACGCACUGCGGCAACUGACGACAGAAUUGAUGCAAUUGACGACAACGCUGAUUGCGAGAGGAAUGUCCCCUCUUCUUACCCUGACACACAGGUUCUAUAAGAUUCGUAGUAUGAUGAUCUUGGGCUGGACCCCCAUUACAUGUCACCCCAACAACAUCGCCAACAUUCAGUCUUCAUGCAUCCCAAGUACAUAUCCAGAUGCACCACACCAGUCCCCCUGCCCCCAACCACGCACCCAAACCCAGACAACACGGCGAUAUAACAAGACGCCGGGUGUAAACAAGGCGCGUGAAGGAACCCCCUUCCUCCUGCUGGCACACACCUCCGCCUCCACCUCGCGAUUUUAACACACCUCAAAAGCGCAUGAGUGAAGCCGAGGGCUAGACGGACCACCGGCGGCGGGAAACACUGAGGCGGUGCUGCCAUCACCCGCUCGCCACGAUCCCAAUGUCGCCAACACCUCCCGCCACUGGCACAACUGCCUAAACGUGCUGCCACCUUCGCAGCCUGGCUGCCUCCGCCCCCACCUCAUUACCCACCUACUGCAUGAUGCCGCCCCGCCCCGCACGGAACAGCAUGAACCUUCCCUGAGACCCUGGCUUCCUUACGACCUAACAACAACAACCUGAUGUUGAGCUCCCACGUCCCCACCUGACACAGCGUGCGCACAUCGCCCCCAAGGGCAGACAGCGAAAGACCGACAUUGCUGGACGGCUAACGUCUCUUCCAACACAUGGCGCGGGAUCAGUAUUGAAUGGGUGGGUUCCACCACUGCCACCUCACCACGCUGCUACUUCUACCCCUAACCCAGCUGCUGUUGCGCCUUCUGCUACUCCUGCUGUCGUUGUAUUGGUUGUUGCUGCUACUUUUAUUAAGUGCGCAACCUGCUCCUGACUGCUAGCGACCAAACAACCUGCGACUGCGUAAGCAUAGACCCUGCCAUCACACUUUCGGCCGUAGCAACGGCACCCCCCUGGCCCCAUCCAACCAUAGUCGCCGGCUCCUCCAACAGCCCACCUCAACCAACGCAAUAAUGGGACAUUUGUAAGCAGAGAAGUGGCCAAGCUCAAGCUCAAGCUCAUGUCCCCCUACACACACGAUCGACAAGUUGAUGCAGCAGGGGGAUCUCCCCCCCAACUAUGCCAAGACGUGUCGUCGCGAUGUAAGUCGCCGGCCGCUGCUUCCCACGAGCCAACAACCCGUUACCAUCAUCCCCUUUGCCUUGCCACCGCACUUAUUAUCGCCAGGAGAGCCAGAAAUGUCUAGUGGCUUUCCGUAGGACCGCCAGUCCGGUUCGGCAUAAGCCUGCAGAACGGCAACACGGGGCCGUUGGAGCUUUCCCAACCUGGAACCUGUGAGAGGCGCGGUCAGUGGCAUGAUGGCCUAAGACGCCUCUCCUCAUGCCUCCGCCGCACAUCGCGCGCCACCAUGCCACAUGCAUCAUGCCAUACGGCACGGCACCAAGAAUGGGCACCAGGCCUGGAUUCCGUACAGUACGGGUUUUCUUGUCUUGUGGGGUGACGUUGACCGACUUCCCCUCUUCCCCUCCCCACCCUGGGGGAAGGAGGGGCUCCCUCGCGCCGCUCCAUGGUCGUCCGCGUGCGGGUGUGCCCCAAGGUGGUCAGUGCUCCCAACAUGUGAACUCAGAGACACAUAUACAUACACACAUACAUACAUGCAUACAUACACAACAUAAAGAGGGUUUGGCACCACUGGUAAGGCGCGACCAUUGCCCCCGGGAGAUCCCGGGAUCGAUACCCGUUAGGGUCAAAGUCCUUCCGAUGGUGGAAGGCAUUGCGCCCCUAGUUGAUGGACGGUGGUGACCUGGGAUAAAGUUAACCUGCGAGCCGACCAGGAACGGAGUUGGGCCGCUGUCGACCCGGCAGAUUCCGUUGGAUGCUGGUGGUGGGUGCGGAACCUGAGCGAUCCACUGAGAAGUUGACUAGGGUGACUGGAUGAGGGUGCCCCGAAAUACCGGGGAAGGCAGGGUUUCGCAGGGUAGCUGCCACGGGCGAAGAUACACCCCCCUGUUUCACACAUCAUACACAGUGGUACACGGCCCUGGAAAAAAACGAUGAUCGAUCUGCAAACACGCGCGCACAAGCACGUCAAGCAAUUAGGGUGACGAUGCGUUGUACGGCAGGAGCUUUAUUUACGAGAAGCCAAACUCCUUCAUCCAAGGACAGCCGAGGUGCGAAGCGGGCGCGGAUGCCCCCGGACGCCCAUACCUCUUUCGAGGCCCCUGCGCUAAACCCAGCCAAGCCUAGCUCGCCUAAAUCACCCGCAAAUUGCCCCGCAACGACAGCUGUGCCCUCCUGUUCCCGACCCAACCUCGCCAGCCUCUCCCAAUACGGACUAGAAGAUGGGAGGGAUGUGGAAAUCGGGAGGUCAGGCAUGUUACCAUAUUCUUUGCCUCCACGCGAACGAUGAGAGCUCACCACACCACUCCCCUUCCCGCCCACAACGCCGUCCCAAUAGUCCCAGUGGCUGCAUUGCUCCAGGGUACUGAAGCAGGGGGGGAGGGGGCUGUGUGUGUAGGGGGAAACAGCUCUAAUCAACGCAUCUCCGGACAGCGCUAAUGCCCAUCAGCAGGUACUCCCACAACCGCCAUAGUCGCCUCCAACCCGCCGCUCAACCAGUAGCGCUACGAUGGCCCCCGGCCCCGGGGUAUAUGGGGCCUGGCUAACCUCCCCCGUACGCCCGUCAGGCUACCUGCUUGGAUCCAUGCAUUUACGUGAGCAAGCAUGAACACCUCACCUCGUCCUCCACAGUGUUGGGCGUGUAGCGCCCCUCCUCUUUGUCGUCCUCGUCUUGCUCCAGUACAUAAACCCCCCAGGCAGCCAACCAGGUGCGAUGUUCCCCCAGAAGGCCACACAGCUCCGCCCACCCAACUCCCCAAGACCCCGUUACCACUACCACCACCACCACCACCUGCUCAGAGCGGUAGCCCGGCAGGACACCGACAGCGCAGCGCGAUCCCACAUAGAGGUGUGCAGGACAACUCGAAGGAACGAUCCCCAGAAAGGAUAUGCCAUACAUACAUGCGGACGGACAGACAGGCAGGCAGACAGAGAGACGUAAUGCAAAGUCAUGACGGCGAGCAGGUAGGAGGCACCUCGCCGGCGUCUCCCCCACUGCGGCCUUACUUCCCCAAUCCGUCCAGCCCGGUGCAACCCGGUCCAGGUCAGGUACGAACCUAGCGGGAGACAGAUCUGGUCAGACCCAAGCGACCAAGACCCGGGUUAAGCGGAACUAGAUCGGCGCGGCCAAACCAGGCUCAUAGUCCAAACGGUGGAAAGUGGCCACGACCUGGUCAGCCAAGACGGCGCCCUUAAUGACGACGAAUGCGAUGAGGGUGGUGCUCGGGAGCCCCCUCGUAACGCGGUGUACACACAUCCACCAGGUAUCCAUUCCCAUAGCCAGCCCGCAAACACACGUGUACACCCCCCAGCCCGGGUGUCCAUUCAUCUCUCCUUCCCACCGCCCGCACAUGUCAGCCGUGAAAGCUCCCACGGACUGCGUGUGGCUUGCUGGGUGGGGUGGGGGUUGGCGGGUGGGUGGGUUGGGUGGGGGUGGGGAAUUGGACACAAGCCAGGCUGACGCGGCGCCCCGCUGGUUGCGGUACUCCGAAUCGCAGCACACCGGGGGGCCGUGGGAAAGCGUGGGGGCGCCGAGCGCAAGAGGGCCCAGCAAGCACACAUGGAAACACGCACAACGCCGUACAGCGCUAAUUAUAAUGCUUACGAGAAAGCGAAUCAAGACGCGAGGGGAAGCUCAAUGCCGACAUCUAAAUAAAAAAAGGUCUGUGCAUAAGGGGGAGAGAGAGAGCGGGCACGGCAAGGCAUAGCAUGAGAUUUGCAGGGCAGCGGCCACGGCUAUAUUAUUCCUGGCGCGGAGAGGCUCUCACCUCCCAACCCAUCUCCUAUAACCCCAGUUUGAUGAUGCAUGCUUUUCAAGUUCACAUUCGGUGAGAAUUGGGGAGGCAACGAGCACGCUGCAGACCGUAUGCCCUCCCCUCUCCCCCUGCCUCUCCCCCCACGCCCUGCUGAGACCCUCAAUGGCCCCGGAGGAGGAGGUUUCACCGCAGGGGCCGUGGGAAAGGAAGAGCGAGGGGAAGAAGGCGCUGCGGCGACAGCUGCGGCAAAAGAAUCAAUACAAACAAUGGAGGCCCCUUCGAAAGGGCGCAGGGCACCUAGGUAGCGUGACCUAGGCUGAGCCAAGUUAGCUCGGCGCGACCUGCCGCAACUUCGAGGCCGGCCGGCCGGCCGGGGCCCAAGCUGCUCUAAAAGCUGAGCACAGCAUCCACCCCGCUGCUAACCCCCCCGGGGUCCAGCCCGCCUCCCGCCUUCCGCAGACGGUCCCGGCGGCGAACGCAAUUCAAGACCCCCGAGCUCCACCACACCUCAACGCCGGAACUACCCCCAUACGUGUGUUGUUGUGGGGGCGAUGGUGGGUCAAUCGAUGCUCAUGACGUACACGAUCCCGCGGUGGCUGCCACAGCGCAGAUCCAGAACACUUCCGAAUCCAAACGCGGAUGCAAGUUUAACCAGUUAUUGAUCCAGACUGGAUCAUCAUUACCACCAUCACCAUCGUUCGGGCCUCCUUAUCAAGGUCACAACCGCGGCGGUCUUCUUAACGGCUGCGGAGCCCUUUUCACCCACCCCCCCGCAGAGGCCUCUUGCGGCUUGCGAGGUAUAGAGCUCGUUGUACGCCGCCGCCGUAGAUACCGUAAUUCCGAGAGGUGUAUGUGUGUGAGAUACAUAUACAUAUACAUACAAACAUACACUUCCGAGGGCGCUCCUGCACAGGCUGCUGUCCAAACCACAGCCACUCCUAUACACACACAUAUACAUACAACUCCAGCUGCCACUGCUGGUGCUAUCGUCGCGACUGCGCCCUGCGGCCCUCUAACGUGCGGCUUCCCGCCAACCACAAGAUCGCCAAGGACCCCCGGGGUCCGCAGCGACAACUCCCGCCCGCCUAAAACCCCACGCUUUCCAAGCCGCCGUCUCCCCCUUCCACCCUUACCUCCAAGCAGCAACAACCCCCAAAACACACAGACACACGCGCACACGUCUCACUUUGGCCAGACUGAUCGCAGCUUGUGUCUUCCCCACCCUACCCCGGCCCCGCACCAAGACACGCCAUUAUCUUCUGCCUGGCCCGCCAAACAACCCCCACCACCCCCUCCCCCGCCAUCAUCGCCCCCACCAGCCCCACCACCGCAAUCCACUGACCGCAGCCCGAUGGGGGACUGAAGGGCGCACACCGGCAUCCGUAACUCUUCACGCGGGCAAGUGGCAACACCAACACAUCGCCCGCAGCAGCUGCUGCACACCGGAAACCCCCGCCCGCGUGCAACCCGCCACACCCGCCCACUCCUUCAGGAAGACCCCGGCAGUGAAGACAGCGAUUAGCCACUUAACCAGAUCAGCCGCUCAACAUGCGGAAAGAAGAAUAUGACCAGUGACUGACAAUCAAACUCGCCAGCACAUCAACAGCAAGCUGCCGUGCGCUCCCCGUGCGCCCACAUGCCGUCCUCCUUAACCAGCAGACGAAGCUGAACAGCGCUGCACGACCUCACUAACCGCCUCGCCUCAGUGGUAAACUAGCCGCUACCAGCGAGCCCCACAUAUUCUCCGAGCGUACAGGGCACUACAGCCACACGGGACGUGUUGAUGGCGCCGUCAGGACCCUCUAUGAGGCGGGUGGCCGUAGGGGGGUAAGGGCGGCGGGGGCGGUGAUGAUGGUGGUGAUGAUGGUGGUGAUGAUGGUGGUGAUGAUGGUGGUGAUGAUGGUGGUGAUGAUGGUGGUGAUGAUGGUGGUGAUGAUGGUGGUGAUGAUGGUGGUGAUGAUGGUGGUGUGUUGGGNAUCUUCCCGCGGCGACCAGGGUUCUCAGCAGCCUCUCCCCUCCCCCCCUUUCCCUGGGGAACUGGGGCUGUUCGGGGCAGGUGGGAUGCUGCUACAAGUCCGCGACCCCCUCCUCCGACGUAACCGCCCCACCCCGGCUGGCGUUGACGGAGUGGAUGGUGUUCAGCACACCCAACAUGGAGCUCACGUCGGGGGGCUUCACGACACCAACAACACCGCCGCCGCCACCCGCGCCAGCAGCACCGGCAACAACGCUGCCUGCCAUGCGCCGCGAGCGAGCGGCAAACGUGCCACUGCUGCGCGCCGGCAGCACGGAGCCCGGCCCGUGGGUCGGUUGGACGCUGCCGCUGCCAGCGGCGGCAGCGGCGGCGGGCUCCGGCGGCGUUAGAGGCGCCUCCACCCCCGCCUCCGCUGCCACUCCAUGCGCCGGCACAUGCGGCGACGGGCUCCUACCCCUCUCGCCGCCUGAGGCGCCGCCGAUGCUGCCACCAUGAACGCUGUGGUUGCGGAUGUGUGCAUUGCCGUUGCCGCCAUGGUGGUAUUGGUGGUGAUGGUGGUGGUAGUGGUGCGCGUGGUGGUGGUUUUGCCUGUAGCCUAGUGUCGAAGGCGUGGUGCCUGCGUCCAUGGAGAAUCGCCCGGGUACGCCGGUGGCGGCGGCGGCUGACGUCGGCGGCGCUGGAAAGGUCGCGUACGACCCGGAGUCCUCCAGGUACUGCAUCACCAUCAGGUGCUGAGCGGUAACACCCGCCGCGCCGUAGUGCCCCCCACCGACGCCACCGUGUCCGCCGCCGCCGUGUGCCCCCUUCCCAACCACUUCUGAGACCGAGCUGGCCGUAAGCGUGGUCGAGGCAGCGCUGCCGCCCCCGCCUUCACCGUACAUUUGCAGCAGCGCCUUGAAGAAGUUUUCCUCCGUCAGCUUGACGACGGUGACGGGACCUCGAGCCCGCGCCGAGACAUGGUGCGUGGCAAUGGCCGCGUUGUCCAGCCCGAUCUCGCCAAUCACGGAGCCAGGGCCCUUCACCUGCGGACCACACCGCCGUCAGCACCGCCAUCACCAUCAGGACCAUCAUCGGGCAUGAGUAUGGGCUUCAUCGCCAUUGGGGGCCCGGCGUCCGUCGGUGGUCUAACCAGCGGGGGUCAGUCGGUGCCAGCGACAGUGACGUCUUCGGGGCGUCGUACACCUAGGUGCCGUGGGCCGGCGCAGACGGUAAAACAACGAGAUCUCUCCGCGGCCUCCCCCUCCCCCUCCCCCUCCCCCCCCUUUCCCCCUUCCCGGGGACACCGGCAAUCCACUUUCCACGUUCUCGCAUGUGACUCCUCACCUCCCCCCCGGGAACCCCUGCGCACCUCCACCACGUACUCCGCAUUUUCCCCCAGCAGAGUGCCCUGCAUUCGCCGACGGAUCUCAUGCGCCUGAGGGAAGGAAAGAAAAACACACACACGGGCGGGGUGAUCAAUGAUGAGGCAAGGGGCAGCGAGUACCAACUGCGCAGGCGCCCCAAGCCAGCUGUAGAGAGAUACAUACAGGUGGGUAGGUAGGUAUCCUGCCGUACCUGUUGCCGGUCUAUGUGCAGCUUGCCAUCCACGAUGUUCAUGGCCUCCGUGAUCUGCCCCAUGUCGGGGUGGUCCAAAGUGAGGGACUCGUCAAGAUCAACAGAAAAAGACGCGUCGUGGUCGCCGCCGGGGAGCUCGCUGCCGACGGCGGCGGCGGCAACGCCCUCGGCGGCAGCCACGGCUCCGCCGCCGCCACCGCCGGGGCCAUGCGCACCUGUGGCGGCUGCGGCGGUAGCGCCGCCACCAGGUCCGCUGUGUACCCCGUGGACAUCCCCGACGCUGUGUCCGUGAGUGCAGCCAUGUCCGCCCCCAGCCGCCGCACCCGCAGGGCCCCCAGGCCGCCGCAAGUGCUGCGUGAGCUCCACCACCCCCGACAUGAUCAUGUAGACGCAGUGUGCCUCCUCACCCUCCCUGUACGGCAACACAAGGCACGACAUGGGGCAACCCAUUGGGGGGUGUCAAGGGCUACGGGUGUAUGUGUAUGUGUGUAUGUGUGUGUGUAAGGCGGCGGGGACGGGUGCCACUCAAGUCUGUCGGUCUGUCUGUCAGCCAGUUAGCCAGGAGAAGGGAAGACACAGAAGGGUGCGAGCAGUCUGCUCGCCUAGGUCCCCCUUUGCUGGGGAGUAUGUGAUCUCCCAGAUCUUGGAGGCCAUUCAGGGCACUGAGGUCAGGUCGCUGCUGUCCCGUCCCGCACCACCCGCCACCCCGCCACCACCGUCGGGCCACUCACUUGAACAAGUACUCCCCGGGCUGGCAGGUCUUCUCCUGGGCGGGGAAAGACGGGGAGGGGGGAGAACCAGUUCGGCGGGUUGGGGUUGGGGGGGUGUACGGCCGGGUGUAGCGACAGCGGACCGGAGGGAACCUGGGCCGAUGGCGAAUGGCCACCACUCGUUCAUUUGCUCGUACAUACAAUCAUACAAACAAACAAACAAACGUACAAGCAUACAGGUAAACACGCUGGACACGACCACGCUGUGCGCCAUCACACCUUGAGACGCGCGCGGACGAGCGACACGAGGGAGGAGCGGUCAAUGGCGUUGACCUGUUCCGCGUGUGUGACGUGUAUGACCGGGGGCCGCGCCUCCCCGCCCGGCCCCGCGGGCCCCAGCGACUGCAGCGACUGCAACGGAGGCAGCCGACCGCCCGCAGUGACCCACUCGUGCUGGCCGACCUCCUGCCGGGAGGAGGGGGGGCAGGAGAGGUGGGGGGUGGGGGGGGGAGCGGGGAUCGAAAUCGACGUCCAGGGGGGAAACCUAGCUCUUCAGUACAAACAACGUUAUUGCCAUAUGACUUGGUUGGCCCUGGGAGACAGGAAAUGGAAGGGAACGAAGAGUUGUGCUAGUUGUUGACCUGCAAAUCUCCAAUCUCGCACACACACACACACACACACACGCACACACACACAAACACCCCUACUCCCCCAGAGUAUCCGUCUACGGUUCUUCCUUCUCGUCAACCGUCUGUGCUUCUUCGUACCCCCCCCUCUCCCCCCUAAGGCCCUCUCAGCACCCCACCCGCAGUUUGAGGCGCUUGUUGGGGUCCUUGUGCAACAUCCUGUCCAGCAGGUCCUUCAGCGCGGGGGAGCAGGACACCUCUUCAGGGAACACGUGGGGCCGGGUCAGGAUGGCGCGGUAGAUGUCCACCUGUGUACGGCAGACGGGGAGGGGGAGGGAGGAAGGAAGGACGGGGGAUGCAACAUGCAAAAUAAACCCACCGACGUGCAAAGUCCAGGGCGGGACAGGGAGCCACGUGUGUACAUGUGUAUGUAUGUGCGUGUGUGAACAGAGGUGGUCACACACAUACCAGGCGGCGGUUCCACUGCUACCAGGUGGGCGAGCAAGAUUACAAAAUAUGUAAAGGAAGCAACUGUGCCGUACGGUACGGUACCGCAAUCCAAGCCUGGUGUGUGUGUGGACCCCUCCCCCCUUCCCUCCCCUCCCCCCGGUUGCCGUACCACACACGACCCCACGAAGGGCAGUCGACCGAACACGAAGCAGAAGAGGCAGCAGGCCAGCGCCCACAGGUCGGCGGCGAAGGGGUUGACGAGCAUGUGACCAAUCUCCUCAGGGGACUGUACGGCAUGGGUACGGCAGGGCACAUGUGGGGCACGGCAGGGCAGCACAGGGAUAAGGGCCGGCAGGCAGCAGGGCCUCCCCUCUUUUCCCCCCCACCUGGAACGCGGGUGUACAGGAGGUCUUUGUGGCGUCCGUGGGGUCCCCGCCCAUGAAGCGACUGGAGCCGAAGUCCGCAAUCUUGAGCAGGCCGCUGCCCGACACCAGCAUGUUCUCCGGCUUCAGGUCGCCGUGGACGACGUUGUUGUAGUGCAGGUAGUCCAGACCCAGACAUGCCUGCGGUUAGGGUGCAUUUGGAGGGGAGAGGUCGGGGUGGGGAGGGGCCGGGGGAGAGAGGGGGUUAAGACGAACCAAGGGGAGGGGGGUUGCGAGAGCGCGGAAACCCACAUGCAGGAGCAAAAAGAGGUGAACAAAAUGUUGCAAGGACUGUUGUUCGGAGUUGUGGUUGUGGUGGCUUAUGUUGUGGUUGCGGUGGUUGUGUGGGUUGUGUGGUGGUUGCGGUAGUUCCUUGUUAAGGUACUUCAGAUAGAAUUGACGCCGAACCCCUCCCUCCCCCGUCGCAUCCAACCGCAUCUAUACCCCUACUUCCCCAAACCCCAAACCCCUCCAAACUUCCAUCCUCCAGCCCCUGCUCCUCUCCCGCCGCCUUCCCACCUUCCCAGCUCCACCUCCGCAGUAACCCUCAUACACAAGCCCACGCGUGUGCCAUUUCCCCCCCAGCGCUACUUCCCACCUGAGGCUCACAUCAUCAACACUCCACCCCCCCACCCCGCCCUACCUGCCGAAAGUACUCCCGCGCCGUGUCCUCCCCCAGCGGCGUCAGCCCCGUCUGCUGCCGUGUCUCCAUCACACAGCCCCCCUCGCAGUACUCCAUCACCAUCAUCAGGUAGGACGAGCCGGGAGGGUCAAUCACCUCAUGCAGCCGCACCACAUGCGGGUGAUCCACCUUCUUCAUCACGGCGAUCUCCCGCAUGAUGGCGGCCAGAGGGGACGUGUCGUCCAUGGAGGCGCGAGCGGGGGCAGCGGCCUGACAGCGGUGGAGGCGGGGGGGGGCGGGGGAAUGGAUGGGGAGGGAGAAUAUCAGGAUGCGGCCAAGUCAACGAAAAAAACUGUGAGAUCCAAAGUUGCAAAUGAGAGCCUCUGUCGGAGUCCAAAGCUAAGCAGGGGCCCCCGGGGGCCCACACACCCCCGGCGAUAAGCUAGGGCGGCAAGGGGCCGGCGCGGUGGGGCAGCCAGGGGACGGGGACGGGAGAGUAGUUGAGGUGUUCAGCACGAGCACGAGAUGAGGAAACGAGCUCCUGACGGCUCCAAACGUCCAACGUAGGGUUACGGAAGCAGCGGGGCUCAGGACAGGAGAUACUGCGGAGACCUGACCGUCACACACACACAUACAUACAGUGUUUACGGGGCUCUAGGAGUUCGAGUCUGGGCUCACGGGAGCUUUACGUGCAGCUAGACGGGAUGUAUGUAUCGAAGGGGAGGUUACUAGCGGGCAGGGGAAGCAGUGACGAGACGCGCACGCACUGGUAGGUCCUGCACUACCCCCGGACACACACACACACACAUACAUGGCAGGCGGCUGGCAGAGGUUAAGGCCUGACUUCUGCUCCCAGUUGACCCAGUCGACCCGGGUUCAAAUCCGCCUGCCGGCUCCUCGGGUGUUUGAGGAGUGAUGAAAUGGGAGGUGGCCCCCCAUCUUAUGGACGGUGUAGGACGUGAUAAUAUCAACUUGCGAGCUGACCAGGAACUAAGUUGAUGCGCCGUUGAUCCGCUAGAUUUGGUUGGAUGCUGGUGGUGAGUUGCCGAACCCAACGAAUACAUUCUGAAGUCGGAUGGGGUGACGGAUUAGGGUGCCCCUCUAGCAGGGGAGAGCAGGGACUGCCCCGGGAAAGGGGGCCGCUGGCGAAGUUAACCACCCUGUAACAACAUACAUACAUAGCUUUGCCCUAGCUGAGACUUGUGGACUCGCUCUAGCGGGACCUGAGAGCCCUUCGUGGUGUAUUCAAUGCAGCGCCAUCCCCGGAUGGAGGGGCUGCGGAGUGGCUGCGUAGAGUGUUGGCAGUCUGAGUCGGGGUCGGGAGCACACAAGACUAACCGACUUGUGCUGUGUGCUCCCGACCCUAGCGCUGCGUUUAGGCUUCGGCCCCCGGCUCUCGCGGCCCACAGUGUAAUCUAAGUCAUACAUACAUACAUACAUACAUACAUACAUACAUACAUACAUACAUACAUACAUACAUACAUACAUACAUACAUACAUACAUACAUACAUACAUACAUACACACACAUACAUACAUACAUACAUACACACAUACAUACAUACACACAUACAUACAUGCAUACAUGCAUACACACGUACCUGCGCCGCGUUGCCGAAAUUAUUGUUUAGAUUGGUGUGGCUGAUGGACAGGUUGCCGUCGGAGUUCUGGUUGCGGUGGUGCAAGUCCAUGAGGCCGGUGUCCGAGGUGUUGCGGGGGGGCGGGGCGCGGCGGCGCAGCGGCCUGGCGGGCUUCUGCAGCUGCCGCAGCAGGUGGGCGCGGUUGAUCAUCUGGCGGGAGAAGAGGGUGGGUGGGUGGUGGGGUGGGGUGGAGAACAGACCGGAGGGACGAGGAGAGGGAUGAAAACGGCGAAGCGAGAACAAACAUGCUUUUUGUCAACCAACCCUGCAUAACCAGUCUUCACUACAUGCUUGCAUUGCCGACUCCCGCGAUGCGGAGGUCUGGUAUACGUAUCUCAUAUCGGAGCCCUCCGCAGCGGGGCCCUCUCACACCCCCCUGGGCGGGAAGGACCGACCGCGGCUCGCACAUCCCCACUGUAUUACCUCCUCCUCCCCCGGCCGACUCGCGGCACAGCGCCUGACCAACAACCUAGAUCUCGACACAUGAUGCGCCCAGACGCCUUUUCAGCGCCCACCUAGAACCCACUGCCCCUGCACUCCCCCUCCACCACGCCCACCUCCACCACCACAGCGUCUGGCCCCCUACAAGCACCUGGCAAAGACGGUUGCAUGCUUUCCGCACCUGCUUUCCGCAUCUGUCACAACCCAGCUGUAUAUCCCAAAGCGCUGUCGGGUCCUGUAUUGUUUCUUCGCCUCGUCCUCCCCACCCCCGUCUGCCCUCAUCACCCCCACCACACAACCCCUAUAGUCCCCGCCCCGCCCAGCCCCACCUUGACGGCGUACAGCUGGCCGUCCAGCGUGUUGAGGCAGAGCUUGACCUUGCCGAAGGCCCCCCUGCCCAGCGUCUUAACCACCACGUACUGGUUGAUGACAGUGGCGCCGCUGGCGUCGCGGACAAACUCAAGCUUGUUGGUCUCCUGCGAACCGAGGGCAAGUGUGGUGAGUGCAGGGAGGGGAGAGUGGGUAGGUAGGGUGGGUAGGUAGGGUGGGGAGGGUCGGAGUGGGGCGUGAGGUGCAGUCGGGCGGGAUAAGGAUCCGGAACGGGAGAGAGUGUUUCCUGUGUGGGUGCGGGAAGGGUGGGGGUCCUAGAGCUGGCCCUUGUCCUCCCCCUGGACUUUCGGGCUUUGGGGUCGCUCGGUCAUAUCCAGGUUCCAUGCUGGUCCCUCCCUCCCCCCACAUCUCUCCCCCUGCCGCUGCUUCCGCUCCUUCCACCCCAUCCCCCGGAGCGCCCCACCACCCAGAUGGGCUGCGGGGCCGCCAGCUCAACCGUCUGGCUGGUUGGCUCUGUGAGCCGGCGGGAAAGCCGCUAACCGCCCAACCGCCUGGGGCUCCAAGCUCCCUGCAUGGCUACAUGGCUGCUGCUGCAACAGCUGCUCAACUGGUCUUGCACGGCGGCUGCACCCCCCUUCCCUCACUGGCCAUCUUACGGCCCCUGGGUUGUAACCAACACAACACAACACACACACGCGCCCGCCUGCACAACCACCUUCAAGGUACACCCGCUACUCACGCAGCCCUGCACGAUGCGGCACGGCAGGGGCCCCGCCGGCAGUUAGCACCGGCCCGAGGGACUUCUCCACGUCUUCCCCCCUCCCCCUCUCGCUGCUGACUGCUGCCGUGUGGCCGCCCCACGUGUGCACUUGCAUGACUCUUGACUCUGACUCUCUCUCUCUCUUUCCCAUGACUCUUGACUCUGACUCUCUCUCUCUCUCUCUCUCUCUCUCUCUGUCUCUUUCUCUCUCACACCUCACACACACAUAUACACAGUCCGUCACCCGCUUGCCGACCCCCGCGCGGACUCUGCUGUAUGACUCUGACUGCCUCCCCAAUGGCAGGGGCUCCGAACGGCUUCUUGGCGAGGCUGCCGCUGCUGCUGCUGCCGAUACCGCCGCUUCUGCCUUAUGGACAGUCCUGUCAUGGCCUCAGCCGCCCCAUGAACGUCCGUUUUUACCGGGAGGCGUCUUGGCGGGGGUGGGGCCCUAGGAGCAGGCGCCCGCCCUCCCCGAGCGGCCAUCCGCGUGCUGCUGCCUGCUUCGUGUUGGUUUGCUGCUGCUGCUGCUGCCGCUAAGGGUCAUUAUGAAUAUAGAUUGGUGAUGAUGGUAUGGUGAUUACCCUGACAAUCUGCUGCAUUGGAGCAUCUGGCUACGGUGGCGACUAGCAGCCAAACCUCCCCCUUCAUAGGUGGAACUGGGGCUGCCGCCCUCCCCCGGCAGUGCUGGCGGCCGUGGCGGUAAGUGCUGUAGCUGCUGCUGCUGCUGCUGCCAAUAGUGGGCCCCUUCUUCCCUCCCCACGGCAAUCACAGCUUUGCGUCCAAGGCGCGAUCUUCCUUCCCCUCUCCUCGCCACAAGCUACACCUCGUCAGCCAAACCACAUCGUGAAGCGGUCUCUUCAACUGCGAACGCGAAUGCCCGGGUCUUAGCAAUAUGCAGCAAUGCCCCCUGUCGUAGCUGCUAUGCCCCUGCUAGAGCUGCUGCCGGGGCUGAGGACGGCGAAGAUAACGCAUUGCCAAGUUCAGUACGAUGCAGUACGGCAUCGGCCUCUCGGUACCUCUGCUUAUAGAGAUUUUCACUUGGCUGCACGCGGAUGUGCGUUCGUUGCCCUGGCAGGUGAUCGCCGCCACCGCCGCCGCCGCCGCUCUGGCGCAUCCGGCACCGUCACCUCCGCUGCAGCCGCUACCUGGCGCCGUGAGACCACCUUGCCGUACCGCUGGCAAUCAUUGGCGACAUAGCAUCGCCGCCAAAGCCGCCAUGGCCGCUACCGCUAUCACCUUAACGACUUGAUGGUGAUGCUGGUGUACCCGGCUGCUCAACCACCCACCCCGAACCCCUCCUACCUUUGCAAGGCUGGAGAUGCCCUUCAUGCUCGCCUGCACCUUGGCGUACAAUCCGCUGUCCUGCAAAUACGAACAAGUGUACGGCAGCGUACGAAUAGUAGUGGUAAAGUCACUAAACCGCUGUCACCCCGCUUACGACUCUGUCACGUGCUGUCUGGCAAGGCUCGGCACUAGCUUCGGCGACUGCUUUCCCUAAGGGCCCCUACACCAGCUCUUCUGGCUCCACCCCAGUCCUUUCCAAACCCUACCUCGCGCCGCCGCAGCACUGCCAAACCCGGCCUCCCCCCGAUGGCACAUCACCACCUCCCCAGACACGGCCAUUAUUCCUCACAUCCCCCUCCUCUCCGCUACAAAAACGAUCCCCCACUCGCCUGCAACAUGAGCUUCUCCACUGCCUUGUGGAGCGCGGCGAGGCUGCUGGAG